GAUCGAACGGCUGGCGGCGUGCGUUAACACAUGCAAGUCGAACGGAGAAUCAACGGAUUGAGGAUUCGUCCAAAUGAAGUUGAGGAAAGUGGCGGACGGGUGAGUAACGCGUGAGGAACCUGCCUCGGAGUGGGGAAUAACAGUUGGAAACAGCUGCUAAUACCGCAUAAUGCAACGGAAUCGCAUGACUCUGUUGCCAAAGAUUUAUCGCUCUGAGAUGGCCUCGCGUCUGAUUAGCUAGUUGGCGGGGUAACGGCCCACCAAGGCGACGAUCAGUAGCCGGACUGAGAGGUUGGCCGGCCACAUUGGGACUGAGACACGGCCCAG
rnacentral:rRNA from 1 species